UUAAAAGCAUAUUGGCAGAGGAAGAGCCCUGGCAUUCCAGCAGGAGCUAACAGGAAAAAGAAAAUCAAUGGCAGUAGCCCUGACACAGCCACUUCUGGUGGUUACCACUCACCUGGGGAUUCAGCAACAGGUAUCUACGGGGAGGGCCGUGCAUCCUCUACUACCCUGGAGGAUCUGGAGAGCCAGUACCAAGAACUAGCAGUGGCCCUGGAUUCAAGCUCCGCAAUAAUCAGUCAACUCACUGAAAACAUCAAUUCACUGGUUCGCACAUCUAAGGAGGAGAAGAAGCAUGAGAUACAUCUGGUACAGAAGCUUGGGAGGAGCUUGUUCAAACUCAAAAACCAGACGGGUGGAGCUGAAGAGCCAAGAGGCUCCGAGUCUGCAGCAGCAGCCAGACCAGUAGCUGGAGCCCCAGUCCCACAAGGAGCUUGGAUGUGCGGACAAGCAGGGUGGACUCCCCAGGAGCACCCAGGCUUGAGUGGAGAAGCUGUUGGUACAGGAGAGGCGGCAGGAGGAGCAGGAGAGGCUGCAUGCCAUUCUUUUCGGGCUGCGGAGAACAGGGAGCUAAACAUCACCAUCAUCUAAGAGCGGGUCAAGGAAUUGAAAAAAAAAAACAAAACAUUUAAGGGGUUAAUAUCCUACACAAUUCAUUUACUUCAUUUGAAUGUUA
rnacentral:lncRNA from 1 species